rnacentral:piRNA from 1 species
UNGUGCCGCCCUUGGUCAUGGUCAGCCU